CCAAACCACGCUGUGUUGUUAGA
rnacentral:miRNA from 13 species